AUAACGAUGACGAAGAUAGCAAAAAGCAGAAAAAGCAACAAGAAAAGCAGUUUCGUGUGCUCUUGUCAAACCUUCGAAAGGCCCUUC
rnacentral:rRNA from 1 species